GUAGGUGAACCUGCGGAAGGAUCAUUAUCGUACAACGGAGGCGCAAGGGCUGUCGCUGACCUUCAAAGGUCGUGCACGCCCGAGCCCCUCUCACAAUCCAUCUCACCCUUUGUGCAUCACCGCGUGGGUCCCCUUUGCGGGAGGGCUCACGUUUUCACAUAAAACUCGAUACAGUGUAGAAUGUUUUAUUUUGCGGUCACACGCGAUCAAUACAACUUUCAACAACGGAUCUCUUGGCUCUCGCAUCGAU
rnacentral:misc_RNA from 1 species